AUUCACAGAGUUAGAAGCCCUGAAUUUUCAUAGGAUUUAUUUUGUACCUUCUGACAUGCAGGUAUUUUACCAGUAAGUUUAGAGUAGUUGUUACUUCUUGCUAACUAUGUCCAAUCAGCAAAAUGUCAGCGAUGUAAAGAACCAGUAUGACGUCUUGUGGAAGGGAAAGGUGGUCAAGUUACCUAUGACUAAAUUAUAACAUAGAGCUGGAGAGUGGAUUCACCCCUGAGAAAGGGCAGUAAAGGUGUACUUCUGGCCUUUCCAGUUGAAACAGAAUUUCUUCUGGUGUUCUCUACUAACAGGUCAAGAGAAGAAUGCAUUUGCCAGACCAAUAGCUGCAUAUCAAGUGCCAGAGGAUGUGGUAAAUUGCUCAAGCAAUGAAACCGGUUCUGGUACCGGAGCUGCAAUUGGCAUCACCACCUGGGACUUUGCCAACAAUGUUGAACAGAGUGGUCUAAAGGUCUCUCUCCAGGCUGGGGUGUAGUGAUGCCAUCACAGCUCGCUGCAGCCUACGUCUCCUAGACUCCAGUGAUCCUCCCACCUCAACCUCCC
rnacentral:lncRNA from 1 species